rnacentral:ncRNA from 1 species
UGGCCCAUCUGGGCCGUGGAACUGUGCUCCAGAGCAAUCUGCCAUGUGGACUGCUUUUUUUU